UGGGGCACUUUUGAGCACCUCAUCUUUAGAGAAGUCUGGAGGCCCCUGUUGGUUUGGACUGCCAUCCCAACUGCGUAGAUGGAGCUACAAAUGCUUAUUUUAUUUUAUUUUUUUCUUCAGUACUGAAGAUCAAAUCCAAGACCUCUCACUGAACUACAUUCUUACCCUCUCAACUGUUUUCAGAUGGAAUCUACUGAGUUGCUUGGGAUGGUGUAAGACUUUCUAUUCUUCUGCCUCCGGCUGCCAGGGAGGUGGAAUUGUAGGAGUGGCUACCACUGGAUUCCUUGAUUUCUUAGUGGGAAACUUGUCUGGUUGUCCUCUGCAUUGUCUACAUUUUAAAGUCAUGAAUUUUAGUACCAAAUGAUGAACUUCUGUGUUUAUUGCACAAUGGUGUCUUACACCCACUGCUUACUCUCCUGGGCAUCACAAACUCGGUGUACUUAAAAGUGGACUGAUUAUCUCCUGCAAAACUGCUCUGUUCACAGUGUUCUAAGACUCUGGGGACAGCUACUCUAGCUUUCUAGCUGCUCAGGCCAGAGACUUUGGAGUUACUCUUAACUUUUUAAACUUUAUAGUGAAUCCACUACUAAAUUCUGUUUUCUCUAUCUUUUUGAUUUUUCUACAAUCCAGCCAUUAGCACUCCCUUGCAAUAUUGUGAUAUUCUCUAACUAGAAUCCUUGCAGUCUGUUAUGUUUCGGUACUUGGCCCCAAUAAUCCUGUUUACACUUAUCUGCAGUGACUCCUGGUUACUCAGAGUAAAACCCAAAGUCCUUACAGUGGUACAAAAAGUUGUACCUGACUUAAUCCCAAACACCUCUCUGCCUCCUGCCUCUUCUCCUUUUUUCCCUUAGGUACUCAGCCCCAGCCCAUGUUAGCUGGAGGAUGGGAACCUGUUCCUACUUUAUUGUUUCAACAGGGAUUGUUCUCUCUUGCUGAAGUACCUUUCUCCUAGAUGUCCAUGAGGCCAAAUCCCUUCCUUUUGAGGGUCUUUAUUGAGCUAUGGUCUUGCAGGUAAAGCAAGGUGUAUCUCAGAGCCACUUUUUUUUUUUGAAGUAUCCCCUUUUAGCUCCCCUAUUUUGCUCUACAUUUUCUUGUUUCAGGGUACCUUGCAUUCUUUUCUAUAUUAUAUAAUAUUUAUUAUGUCUGUGGAUUGCUGUCUUUCUUUCCUUUCUAGAAAGUAAGUUUCUAUGGAUGGAGGUUUUGUUCUGUUGUUGUAUUAUAAGUGCCUAGUACCUUGUGCCUUCAAUAAAUGGAUUUUAUAAGUGUUCCUUCUGAUAAGUGUGAGAGGUUUUUUUUUUUUUUUGGAAGUGGUUGUUCCUUGGUGACACAUAUAGGGCAAGAAGGCUUCUCUGGGGGUGUAUCUAUAUGCCUACAGAGGAGCUGGAUCUCUUUUGUUUUGCUUCUCUCAUUCCCUUUGUCUCUCUAUCCAGGAUCCAUUGCUUGACAAAGAUACAGUUGUUCAGUACAGAGCUGUUUCAUGAUUGCAGAUGGUCAUUAGAUUUUUAGCAUGGAGUGUUGGAAGAGACUUGCUCUAAUGACAAGUAAUAUGCUAUUCUCUUUCCCAGCUUGGGGAAGGUCCUGUGUCUGUUAACUGAACAUUUGUCAGGUAUAUGUCACAGGACUCACCAUGAUUGGUUCGUUCACUCACCUGUGUUAGCUCUUAGGAAUGGCCAGUGUCAUGUUGAAAAUCUGCCCAAGCCUCCAGCCAGACAGCUAAGACAUUUCAGAUCUUCAUCUCGGGUCCUCAGAUCUCAGGGUUUUCUUGUUGCUUAUGUAGUAUAGUGGAAUAUGUGGCUGUGACAGGCACACAUUGGUUUGGAGUUUGAAGAGAAGAGACAUUGUGUCAUUGUGUGACCCUUGGAUGGGGCUUCCAGCAGUACAGUUUAAAUCAGAAUUGCCUCAUGAAUAUUUUACUUUAAUGGAGAGUUAUAGAUAUGCUUCUUUUGGUCUUAUUUUCAAGUAUCUGCUGUAAGAAAACAUACCACGAGUGAAAAACAUACUCAUAUUCUUGAGAAAACCAACAAGGUAGCUAUGACUAAUCCUGUUUUGUGUGUCCUCACACAAAACAGAGACCCAGAAUAUGAAGGAAGCUGCCCAACCACCCACUGGGCAGUGAGGGGGCUGGACUGGAGAUGCAAAGCAUAGGCUUUAUAGUUUGCAGCCGAGCCGCCUUACCUUCCCCUCUAAGGCUCAGUGCUAGAAAGAUAGGAGUGCUGGUGGGAAAGGUGAUAGCUCUUAAGGACACCGCUUUCCACACACUUGUUGUGUUGCUGGUAGGUAUCACAUAUAUUGACUGCUGGGAAUGGUGGGGGGGGGGAGAGGCUGGCACAGUGCCUGACUGUGAUAAAGGUUAAGGCAUUUCCCAUACUAAUGAUCUGUUUGGCCAUGUCUGAUCUGAGUGGUAGUGGAUCUGAGUGGUAGGAGACUUGAGGGGUCAUUGCCAGCCUGCCCUAUUUAUCUCUCAUCCUAGCUGUCACCACACAUACUAGCUGUCUGACAUGUUGGUUGAAACCCAAGCUUGAGUGUCUCCUUUGGCAGGGUGGAAGAUAACCACCUCUGUAGUCCUGGUGGGGCUUACCAGACUGUGGGAGCAACUUCUUGCAGGCAGGCAGUCUGCAGAGAACUACCAGUCUCUCAGCUCAAGGCACUCUGUGGUUCUCAGUUCAGAGUGGUAGUUGUAGGUCAGUGAGCUGGUCCCCAGGAUGAAUGAAGCUAGUCCAGGUAGAAUAUCAAGAAGAAUGUGAUCUGUGGUUAGAGUGGAUGGUUGCCUUGUCCCAGCGGGGACCUCUCCAGAGUUCGAAAUCUCUGUAUGUCCCCCAGAGGGGAUUUUGGAAGGAAAGCAAGAAUAGUAAGGAUGACUGAGGGCCAGGGAAUUUAGACAUGGUGCCCUAGUUUGGAUUCUGAUUCUAUCCCUGUGAGUCACUGUGAGACAUAACCAUAAAUAGGUGUCUUUGUUUCCUCAGCUUCCACUCUUGCCCAGGAAGCAGUCAAAUUAUACUUCCACAUUGUUUGACAUUAAAGGAGCAAUUUGGUUUCUCCAUUGACAGCUUUCCUCUUGCAAUUGAACUGUAGGAGCUCGUGCUUGUGUCUGUUGGGCAUCAUCUCCUCACCCAAGACUGGGAAGGAACACAGGUGAAGGUUUAGCUCACCAGGUACCUAAUAGUGACUUUCUGCAUACAGGCCAUGUCCAGAAUGUGUGAAAUGUGGAGUCUCUGCCAGGAAGUGUUGGGGAAUUCGGAACAAGAACCACUCUGCAGGCAGUCAUUCCCAAUGGUUCACUGCAGACUGGCUAAGGCAAUGGUCCUCGUUCAGGAUUUGGAGCUUUCAGGAUGGCCAAGUGUUUCAGAAUUUGAGGUCUCUGUUUGCAGACUGACUGAUUGAACUGAAUUUUGUAGUAGUCAUGAAGUAAGUGUGUUAAUUUAACAAAAUGGAAAAACAAGGCGUAGAGAGUUUGGGUUUUCAAAGCUACUCCAUGACUACUCAGUAACAGAACCAUAACCCUUUUGAAUUAUAAAUCCUUGUCCUCUCCCUCUGCACUGUCUGUUGGUAUCUGAUUUUCUUUACCACUUACAAGUCCAAGUAUUUAAAUAUAGGAUGACCAAAAAUUGUGUAUUUUUUGUUAAUUUUUGCAAGAUAAUAUAAUGAUAUAAAAAUGAAAAUUUUUAUCAAAUUUACUCAAAUUCUUAUAUAUCUUAAGACACUUAAUAUACAGCACAAUGUUACAUUUUGGGUAUCUAGUCUCUUUCUAAAUUCCUUUCGCAUUAUUGUCUUUCUUUGAACAAUACUUUGCACUGUUGUGUUGCCUGUUCCUUUUUUUCUGUGGGCGGUAUGAUUUCAAAAAAAUAUCUACCUACUAAAAUUAAUGGUGAAGAUGUCAGUAAUGGAUGUGCUGGUUUUGAUAUCCUCUGUUUUUCAAUUAUUUGAAAAUAAUUGACCUGUUAGCCUUGAUGUAAAUUUUAAAUGAUUUUUAAAUUAUCACUCCUUGUUUUGAAUAAAUAAUAAAUGAGUUCUAGAUUGUUUGGUCCAGCAGAUGCGUAAACACUUUAUAAUAAUAUUUUUCCUCACUCUGAUUGUAGGAUAGCUUGUUAAAUGUUGGUCAACUCUGUCAACACCACUCAUAGAAUUAUUAUAAUCAUUGACCACUGUUGAAAUAUUUUGUUUCAUUUUUUAUUUCAAGUUCUGUUUUUUCUGUAUUUUGAAUAGCUGACAAUAAGCUGUCUCUUUCGUCUUUCCAUUUUAUGACACAGACUUUUCCUGAUACGCUAUCAUUUUGCCUGUUGUCAGUUUUUUCUUUUGCAGGUCUUUUGGCACUUUCUCUCUAUUUGGUCUCAGUGUCCCAAAUGUUUCUAUUUUGCAUUGUAAAAGAGCAUCCCUGAGUUCUGGGGAAACAUAAAAAUUAUAUCUAAUGUACUUCUAAGAGUUUUCAUAGAUUGUAACACAAAAUUAUGUUACUUUUCACAAAUGAAAUAAAAGUGACUUAGUGAAAGAAAAUAAGCAGAACUUACUAGAUUUGACUAGAAACAAACAUCAAGAGCAAAUACAGUAUUCUAAAUAAAAAAGUAAGCAACAAGUAGUCGAUAUAAAACAUAUCAGUGUAUCUUGUGCAAAGAAAAUUCGAUGGCAUGUACCUGAGUGAUGCUUGGAAUGGUACAUUAAACAAGCACUGCCUGAGUGAAGCCUGGGGGUAAACCGCUAAAUGGUUAACCCUGUAUGUUCAUUACGAAAUAAAGGUACAAAUGUAAAAGGUAUAGGUGUACAUUAAAAAGCGACUACUGUUCCUGGCACCCAGAGGUGAUCACAUUUUGAGAUACUUCCUCUUCCUCAUCACUCCUUGGCUAGAAGUAGAUAAUAAUAACCUUUGAUCAUUGAAGGGUUGAAUGCAGGAAAAGUGCUUGGGAAUCAUCAAUGGUCAAUCUGUCUUAGAUCAUUACCUGUGCAUAUUUGGGCAGGUCACUUAGGCUCUGGUAGUACUUUUCUCAUUUGUAAAAUAAGAAUAAAGAUACAUACAACAUCCAGAAUAUUGAAGACUAGAUGGGGUAACGUGCUGUUUAUCGGCAGAGUACUUACUCAGAUAAGAUGGCGUCCAUUGGUGUUUGGUAAAGGGACUCUGUGUUGAAUGCCUGAAAAUUGGCCAAGUGGAAUUGGCUGGAUGGAGAAGGGAGGGCUUCUGGACUAGAGAGACUGGGGAGGCCCAGCUGGGGCUGGCAGGAGGUAGGUCUUCAGCAUGGGAUGGGCAGCUGGCAGCAGGCCUUGAAGGGAAGAUGGUAGGGGUGACCCUUGUCCCCAGGCAGUAGGAGUCACUGAAAGUUGUGAGGAGAUUGCUAGGCAGAGUGGUCCUGGUUGGAAGAGUUUUCAGUUCUCUGUUAUUUUUGUAGCUUAAUCGCAGCAGGUGGGACAGCAGAGCAGAACCCUUUGAAGCUGACUUCAGAGGCCCAUGUGUCUCUGCUGGGCUCACUGACUUACUAUCUUUCAUCUCAGCUCUUAUCUAGAUCACUGCAGUUAAUUAUUUUGCAAAAUAUUAACUCUCUCCAUGACUUUAUAAUGAGAUUUCCAUCAUUUUCCAGAGAAAGCCUCCUGAUUUCUACAGGAAACACUCUUAGUAGCAAUAUUUUAGUGCUCAAACAGUAGGGAUAGUAGAGGGGCUACUAUUGUUAGUGAUUUGAAAAGAGGCCUCCUCUGGGCAAGCUCACCUAAGAAUUCCAGGAGGGGUACUUUGGGCUUUGAUAGCACAUUGUGUUAGUUGGCUUUCUGUUAAUGUGAUGAAGUACCAGAGAAUGACAACUUAAAAGGAGAAAAAGGUUCAUUUUGGUUCACAGUUUCAGAGGCUUCAGUCCAUGAUCAGAUGGCUCCGUUAUGUUAGACCUGUGGUAAAGCAGAGACAUCAUGGUGGAAUUGUGUGGUGGAACUAAGCUACUAAUCCAUGAGGGCAAGCAGAGAAAGUGAUAAAGAGCCACAGAGGAAGGAGCCAGGGACCAGAUAUGCAGUAGAUACCAAGAUCCUGCCUCCAUGAUCUAUCUAUUCCUUCAGCUAGGCCUUCCUUCUGUCACCUCCCAUUAAUGCCAUCAAAUUAUUUUCUCACCAGUGGACUAUUCUACUGAUGAAGUCGAGCCCUCGCAUUCCAGUUACCUUGCAGAAGUCCCAUGUCUGAACACAUGAGCUGUUUUGGGUGAAUCUUAGAUCUAGGCCAUAACACCUGUCUAUUCUUCUUCAUUAACUUGCUCAUUGUUUGUACAUGUCAGGCCUGGUGCUAGGCCCUGAUGUGAUGAGGCCAGCCAGGUAUCAUGGUAUGACAGAGUAUUGACAAGAAGGCACAUACCUCAGGCAGAUAAGGGGUGAGGGGCAGGAAAGAGAGCACCUGUGGCAGUGGGUGAGAGGCAGGCUGCCUGGGCUUAUGUCUACUUCUGCCACUACUAGUCAUAGGGUUUGGGAGCAGCUCUGUAUUCUUUAAUAAAUCUCACUGUUUCCAUUUUUAUCAAGAAGAGACAUGACCUUCAAUCCAGUAUUUUAACUUUUUAUGCCUUUCUCCUAUGUAUUUAUGAUUCUUCUCUUUUUCACUCUGUGUCCUGUCUUCUCACAGGUCUUAAAGGCUGAUUCUCAAUUUUUCAGAACCUGACACUUUUUUCUUUUUGCAAUGAGAAUACUUGCUUCUCCAGGACAGUCACAGUAACUGAGAUUGUAGAGCUAGACAUGCCACUAGAAACCAGAAAUGGGUUCCAUGUGUAUCCCCCUCACAUCAGCCUCUGCUGGGAGUGGCUGUAUGGGAAGCCAGGCAUUAAGCAUCUGGUUGAGCCUGAGCCCAGAACUGAGGCACAGUAUCAAGCACAGCUUUGUGCUCUCCUGCAUCUGGACUGGUCUGAUGCACCUUGUUCUAUGGGGACUGGGUAAGGAGUGAUGAUUAUUUUCAGGGUGAGUGGUGAAGUGUGCAAAGGGCCUGGCACAAAGCUUGGCAUAGCCUGGGCGUCCUGUAAAUAUGGAAUUACUUGGAUUAGCUCCAAUCUUCUGUUCUCUAAGGGAAAUUGGAAAUGAGUCACAUGGUGACGCAGCUCAUGGAGAUAAAAUCAUGAGGAUACUUUUUAAAAAGCGGCAGCUGGUUAAUGUCAGGUGAAAAAAAUGAAAUGUUGCCCUCAGACAAGGGUUCCCUUGAAGCAGAGGACGUGUGAAGAACCAAGUUCUCUGAGCAGAUGUAGCCCACAGCAGAAAUCUUUUGUAGGAGCUACUAAUAAGAGGGGAGGCAUGUCUGGAGCAAGGGGAGUGUAUAUUUACAUAACAUGGUAUUUUUGGGUGAUUUCGUGUUGCAGGGCAUGUUCCUGGUUUUGGAGGAUAUCAAAAGCAAAAAGAGAGGAGGGGAGAACAACCCUCCUUCCAUCCUUUAUAAUGUAUGUGCCCAUCCUGGGGCAGAUAUAGCUCUUACACCCCUAGUCCCAGCACUAGACAAUGAACCCAUUCCAAGCUCUAGAUUUAGCUGUCUCUGAAAGCCUAUCCCCCAUGACUACAUGAGGCAUUGGGGAACAUCAAGACACAAACCAUAGCAACAGGGUUUGGCAGGACAUCAGCAGAUAAAAAGGACAUGAGGAGAAACUUGUACUGCUGCAGUGAGGACUCACUUGCUAAUAUAAAGAAUAGCUCCUAUUUCUGUUUCUCUGUUUUCAAAUGUUGAGCAUCUCUAGUCAUGAGGGAGAUGUGACACAAAGCCACAACAGAUAUCAACUCUCUCUAGUUAGAAUGGCUAUAGUAAGCCCAAUAUAGUUGGUGGUACUUCUUAAUACCAGCUCUUGGGAGGCUGAGAAAAGAGGAUAACCUAAGCCUACAUGUUCGAGACUAAUCUAGUUAACCUUUCUCAAAAACAGACAGAUGACUUAUAGUAAUAAAUGCUGGCAAGGAUGUCAAAAAAAGAGGAACUCUCUUUUUCUUUGGCAGUGCUGGGAACCUAAUCCAGGGCCUAAUCCCAGGCAAACUCGACCACUGAGCUAAACUUUAGCCCAAAUUCAUAUACUUGGUAGGAGAGUAAAUUACUACAGACAUAGGAAAUAGUAGGAGGCUUCUAAAGAUGACCAAAAUUAGAACCACUGUAUUAUGGGAUGUGAGUGCAAAGGAAAUGAGACCAGCAUAUGGAAGAGAAAGUUGAAUGACCCUGCUUAUAGCACCACUAUUCAUAAGAUCUAGGAUGUGGAAUCAGCCUAAAUUUCUUCAGGAAACCAGCAGAUAAAGACAUUGUGGUUUCUAUACACAGUGGCAAGCUCUUCAGCUACAUGAAUGAACCUGGAGGACAUCAUGUUAAAUGAAAGAAAUCAGGCAUAGAAAGGAAAACACUGUGUGAUCUCACCAAUACAUGGAAUCUGCAAAAGUUGAUUUCAUAGAGGUAGAAAGUAGAACAGUGGUUUUGCAGGAGUAGAAAUUAGAAUAGUAGUUAUAAGGGCACGGGGGAGAGAUUGCUCAAUAGCUACAAUGUUAUAGUGAGAAAAUAGUAAAUUCUAGUGUUCUUUGGCACAACAGGGUAAAUGAGGCUAACAAUAAUGCAUUGUGUAUCAGAAUAGCUAAAAGGGAGGAUUUCAAAUACUUACCAUAAAGAAAUGAACAACAUUUAGAUAUGCUAAUUACACUGAUUUGAUCAUUACCCAGUAUAUCCAUGAAUCAAAACAUCAGAAUGCAUAUUGUAAACAUGUCAAUCAAAACAAAAUCAUUAUGCAUCAAUCAAAACAAAAUUAUUACGUGUCCAUCAAAACAAAAUACAAGCACAAGAGAAAGGUUAUAUAAAAGGAAGCAUCACAGAGCCGUUGCUGUUGGCAUGAGGUAAGCCUUUAGACAGACCCAGACUCUCCUUCAAUGCAUGAGUAGAAAGCCUGGUGAAGGAGAAUCAUUUCUCGUAAAGCAACAUCAUAUUCUACCUGCCAAUAGCCCCGGUACUGGGGAUUAAACUCAGGGCCUUCACGCUGAGCUAUAUCCCCAGCCAUUUAACCUUUGCUUUUUAAACUUUGAGAACUCUUCCAUUUGUGGAGUUCAUUCUUCUUUAUCUCUGGGUUGGUUGAUCUUAUCAUCAGGAGUGUUUUUGUUUGGCUGCCUAUUAGGUAAUGUGGUUCCCUGUUUCUUACCUGACCAGUCAGUCAACAAAUAGUUAUUAGAUAACUACUAUGAGUCAGACAGGGUUUGAGGCACUGAGCAUGCAAUAGUGAUCAAGCACAGAAUCCUGCCUUCAAAGGCUUAGAAUCUAGCGGAGAGAAGGCAAGGCACCAAUGAAUGUAAACAAGUAGAACGAUUGUUAUUCAGGGAAGUGAAAAGGGACUAUGGCAUAGCAAGACUUGGGUCUGAUUUAGUCAACGUGAAUAAGCAGAGGUCUUUCAAGCAGAAAUAACAGCUAUGCUAAGGCCCAGCAAUGACAUUGAGCAUGGUGUUUUUGAGGAGCUGAGGAAGCAAAGCCCAGGGUAGUAAGUGGGAAGUCACAAGGAACCAGGGAAUGGUAUGAUUAGUCUCAGGGCUUUAGGGAGCUCAAUUGGUAGAACAGCAUAGGCAGAGGAAGUGAGUUAGGUAGAUGACCUAUAUCUUGGGGGCAACCAACAUCUGCCAGGUGCUAGCCAGCCGUGGGCAUGAGAGAGACAAAAGGAGCAGCAGUGAGCGGGCAGGAAAAGUAGACCAACAGGCCUCUGGAGUCCAGUGUGUCUCAGAAAAAGUUGCUGAGAAUGGCAGGAAAGACCAAGCUAGAAAAGUGUCUUUGGCUUUGCGUUUGGCAGGAGGAUGAUACCUGACUGAGGGACUAGGAGGCCAAGCAGUGUGCUGCUGACAGGGCAAUAUGUGAAGAUGUGAAUGUGAAGCCAAAGGUGCCCUGGAGAACCCAGAAGUUUGGAAAUCCAUGAAUGUGGAUCAUCUAAGGAAAGCUGCAAGGAGAGAGCAAAGUGGGCCUAACAGAGAAGCUGUGGAAGCUACAAACCGGAAGUGCCAUGGAGGUGGAGUUGCUCAAGUCUUUUGAAGCUUAUAACUGGAUUGCUUCAGAUGCUGAGUGUGGAACUGCAGGACUUAAUGUUUGUCCUUCUGGAUAUUGGCCUUACUUUGGUCCCAUUCCUUUGUAUUCCCCUGUUUAUAUCCUUUGGAAUGGUAACAUUUAUCUUGUGCCAUUGAAUGUUGGAAGUGUUUAACUUUGUUUUCAUUUGCACAGGGGUUUACAGCUAAGAGUUUGCCUUAGAUAUUGGGGGAGUCUUGAUAUUAGACUUUAAUGUUUCAGCAAUCUACUAAAACUGUUAGGACUUUGGCAACUCUUGUUGUUGGACUAAAUGCCUUUCCCAUGAAGGGAUGUACAUGAGUCUUUGGGGUCCAGAGACAAAAUGUUAUGAUUUGAGUCACUUCAAAGCCUCAUGCGGUCAUGGGUGGGCUUCUAGAGUUGGUGAAUGACUCAUGGUCCAAUGCUGGGAUUAUGGGUGUACUAUGACACCCAAGUGGGUGUGGCCUGCAUACAACAUAAGGCAUUGAAAGAGUCUUCUCUCCAUGCUCCUCCCCUUUGUCCUUCAUUCUUGCCACUUGCAUCACCCUGAACUGUUGCUUCUCUGCCAUGAGCUUCUUUGCCUUUGUGCCAGCCAAGUAUAGACUGAAACCUCCACAAAUUGUGAGCUAAAUAAACCCUUUCUUUCCUAA